rnacentral:tRNA from 1 species
GGCGGUGUAGCUUAGUUGGCUAGAGCGUCCGGUUCAUACCCGGAAGGUCAUAGGUUCAAGUCCCAUCACCGCUACCA